AUUAAACAUAAAUGUGUUAAAUGCUCCAAUCAAAUGACAGUGCUUUUUUUUCCUGUUCUCUUCUCUUCUUUACUUUUUUUUUUUUUUUAGGACUAGAUAAAUGUCAAGACCCAACUAUGAGCUAUUUAAAAGAAACACUUACAAAUCUAAAAACAGAUAGGAGUUUAUAACUAAGAAAGUUGGGUGGCCAUCUUAGCUACAGACAGAGAAGACUGAAUGAGAAGAGCAUUACUAUUAGAGAUGAAGAGAAAGAUUUUGUAGCAGUGAAAGUCAAUUCAUUAAGAAGACAUGAUUCAAAAUGUGUAUGUCUAGCACUAGGACCACAGAGAGAAUUUUAUGCGUACACAUAUAUGCUCUAGUAGUAAAUGUGUGUAGUCCUAUGCCCUAACAGUAAACCUACUGUCGCCUGUGAACACACACUCUCGGGUUAGAGGAACGCUUAGGACAAAGGCAUUCUGGUUCUAUAGACUUUCCAUCUCAACUCAAGGGAUGAUCUGUAGUAUUUUUUAAAUGCUAAAACUAUGGUUUUAUUAUUCCUUAGUGAUGAUCUUAUAAAUAGAAUGUUGAUUUGAAUAUCAAUUUUGGAAAGGCCCUUAUUAUUUCAGAUGGAUAAAGCGGGAUAACUCAAGAAGCUGAGACCAAUAAACAUUCUUUAUAGAUGAGGACUUUUUAAAAAAAUUUAUUAGGUAUUUUCUUCAUUUACAUUUCCAAAGCUAUCCCAAAAGUCCCCCAUAGCCCCCCCCCCCACUCCCCUAUCCACCCACUCCCAUUUCUUGGCCCCGGCGUUCCCCUGUACUGAGUCAUAUAAAGUUUGCAAGACCAAUGGGCCUCUCUUUCCAGUGAUGGCCGACUAGGCCCUCUUCUGAUACAUAUGCAGCUAGAGACACGAGCUCCAGGGGGUACUGGUUAGUUCAUAUUGUUGUUCCACCUACAGGGUUGCAGAUCUCUUUAGAUCCUUGGGUAAUUUCUCUAGCUCCUCCAUUGGGGGCCCUGUGAUCCAUCCAAUAGCUGACUGUGAGCAUCCACUUAUGUGUUUGCUAGGCCCCAGCAUAGUCUCACAAGAGACAGCUAUAUCUGAGUCCUUUCAGCAAAAUCUUGCUAGUGUAUGCAAUGGUGUCAGCGUUUGGAGGCUGAUUAUGGGAUGGAUCCCCGGGUAUGGCAGUCUCUGUCCAUCCUUUCGUCUCAGCAAGGACUUUUUUGUCUAUCCUUUUUCAUUUUUGUUUUUGGCAACACUGGGGAUUGACCUAAAGGUCCACAUAGACUGGACACAUGUUCCACUACUAAGCUAGUCUUAAACUGCUUUUCACUUUUAGAUUUCCCUCUCCUAUGUUCUUCUCUAUGGUCUGAGUACUUGGCAUUAAAACCAGAGACUUAUGCAUGCUAGGUAAUCAUUCUACCACAGGACUGCACUCCCAGCCUUAAAUUUUAACUAACAUUCUUGGCUCUUUAAUGUGGUUCCUGCUCUUGCAAGGCAACCACACCACUGACUGACCCAUCUUCCCAGCCCGGGGUUAUUGAGACUAAAAGAAGUGUGACAGUCAAUUCUAGCACACAACAAGCAUGGCACAGCUCAGAGGCAUAAACUUGACACCCCUAAAGGGAACAACAAUGGAGAGGCCUUAGAGGAGCUUGGUGCAAGAGGAGGGGUCAAGAGGAAGAAAGCAUGCUUUCUUGUUGAAGUUGCAGCUCAGGAAUGCAGGGCUGCUCUCUCAGCUUACAAACCAGUGCAUGUCCGAAUUCGCAUCCUCUUCGCUCUGUGGAAAAUCACUUGAAAUGGUUUCCUUUGGAAACGAUAGGCCAGGUUGUUUGUUUACUUUACAAGAGAAUACUAGCAAUCUGUUUCCCUUGUUAGGAGACCAAACAAGGGAAUGAGCUGCAAUCCCAACAGAAGGUGCUUCCGUUGAGCACGAGGGAAGGUCUACUGGCUGAGGGUACCGAGUCCAGAAGCACACAUACUUCCCCAAGAAGCUGUGCUUAUGGUUUCCAGCUUUAAGAAAGUUCAUGCAAGAACAGAUAACGUGAGGUCUCUUCCAGUUCUAUCAUGAAUGAGACACAGAAUUCACACUCACUCAAAGUUGUUAUUCUCUUAUGAUUUAACAGGCUCCCCCCACACUAGAGCUACUGCUUGCAAAAUCUUGUGUGCGCUUUUUUUAACAUUCUAAUUUUGGUUUUCAUUUAGCAUUUUUAAGGCAAAAUGACCUAAAUUUAUAGGAGAAUGACUUGCAAAUUGCAGAGUGCGAAAAGUAACUUCUGUUUAAGCUCUGCGCGCCAAGGGCUCAGCCUCGGCUCCAUGCUAGGUAAAGCAGAGGAGAUGCAGGAUGGCUACACGCGAAGGAAAAGCCGAUCACAAAGGGAAUCCCAGAGGCUGAUCCUCGGUGACUCAUGUGCAGUCAGAGGGGCCUAACACCAGAGGUGCCCUUUUAAAGCUAGAGAAAGAUUAGCUUUUCCUUAAGUAUAACAAUAUCCAUCAUAAACUGGCCAUUCGGUGAGAAACUGGAAAUGACUAAAACACAGGUCUCUCUUCUCUCUCAUCACACAUGCGAGUGUGCAUGUGCGCGCGCGCGCGCGCACACACACACACACACACACACACACACACACACAUUCUUCUGGUAACACUGGAUGCGUACAGAGGGGAUUACUAUGCUCUUCGGGUGGAGGGGCUGGAACACUAUACACUUAAAAAGAGGUCUUAUAAGAAGGAAUAUACCAUCCCGAGAAAACCAGAGCCCCUGCCAAGAGACAGCACUGCACUGGUUAGGCAGCAUGUAAAUAAAAAGCUGUGCGGGGUCAGUCCAAACGGGGGUGUGCUGAGAAGAUCCCAAGCUGGUGCAAAUGGCUGCAGCUGAGGUGCACAGAUGGCAGGAGAGGCGACCAGAAUGAAGACAGUCUGAAGAUAGACUGUGAAGGGACGCCCAUGGCACACACAAUACCCUGGGCUUUGUUCUAGGCAGUUGAGGAGCUACUGCACAAUGCUCAGAGACGUGGUUCCCGCCCAAGGAGGAAAGAUUCCUUUCCCCUGGAGGGGAAAGACAAGAGAACAGAAGCAGAAAUGGCCAACCCUAAGGGAACAUGCAACUUCGUAAGAGGGAGACUGGAGUGGAAGCUGACAGGAGCCAUGUGGAAGGCAAAGACAACGCAGAGACUGAAAGAAAGGAGCCAGAAUACGUAUUGCCCUGUCUCUUGAGUAGAGUCCUGCAGGGGUCGCUGGACUGCCUGGCCCUUUCUAACUCUGCUGAGCCACCAAUUCCUUCAUGUCAUUUGGUAUUCAGUCUUCUUAGUUUUGGUAUUCUGGGCGCUGAAGAGCACCUUCCCUGUAGUCGGCUAUACAACCUUCUGCCCAUAAAAACUGAGCUGCUUUUCUUUUUAAGUUGUAAGAGGUUUGUUUCUCUAUGUGCUCUGGGUAUAAGCCCUUUAUCAGAUACAUAGUAUAUAAAUAUAAAUAUAUAUACACACACAUAUAUGUACACGCACAUUAUACACACACACACACACAUGCAUAUAUCUUUAUAAGAAUUUUUUCCCCUCGAGUUAGGGUCUCAUUACAUAACUCUGGCUAUCCUGGAACUCUGUAGAUCAGGCUGACAUGGUACUCUGAGAGACCUGCCUGCCUCUGCUCCCAAACAUUGGAAUACACUACCACAACUAUCUUAAUUUUAAAAUUUGAUUAAGUAUGAUGAAUUUGCUAAACUCUAAAAAGAAUGGUUUGUACUUUUUAUGUCUUGUCUUUAAACAAACAAACAAACAAACAAACUGUAAACCCCCGCCCCCAAAGCUUUUCUCCUUUGGCUUCUCCUGUAAGCUUUGCAUUUCUACUCUUGUGUUUAGGUCUAUGAUGUAUUUGCACUGCUGUGUGUACUCUGAAGCAAGAGUCAAAGUCUGUUUGUUCUGCAGGGUAGGAGAAUAGAGACAGUUAAUUGCUUCAGCACUGAAAGACUAUCACUUCCCCAAGAACUACCUUCUGGCCCUGGCUGAAAUGCAUUGGCUACAUAUGCGCCAGCCUAUCCCUGAGCUCCAGCCCACUGCUCUGGAAGCCCCCUGUACACUAACACCACACUGUCCUGACUCUGGCUCUACAGUAAACCUGCAAGCAGGCAGGGGAGUCCUCCAAGUUCUGCUUUCUUUGUCAAAAAAAAAAAAAAAAAAAGACUUUGGAUUAUUCUGGCUUCUUUGUUAUAUGCAUGGAAAUCUUAUCAUCAAUCGCUGGUACUGGUAAACAAUGAAUAAACUCUGAUUAACACCAUACUACAUGUGUUCAUGACUUCAGGGUCAUGAACUGUGACCAAAGCUCUCAAUUUCCAAGAGACAGAUGAUCACUCUGCUUAGGUUUGCUGUUUAACAAUAGUUUACACUAACACCUCCCCACCCCCACAUUGAACCUGUAGUAUACACUUUUUGUAGAUUCCAUAGACUUUUAAAAACGCUUAUUUUUAUUUUAUGCUUAUGAGUGGCUUGCCUGUCUGUGUGUCAAGCACACCUGUCCAUGUAGAGUCAUGAAUCCAGAACUGGAGUUACAGCCACUUGUGAGCUACCGUGUGGGUCCUGGGAGU